AAACUUUCAACAAUGGAUCUCUUGGUUCGCAAUCGAUGAAGAACGCAGCGAAAUGCGAUAACUAAUUGGAAUUGCAGAAUUCAGUGAAUCAUCGAGUCUUUGAACCAAAUUGCCCCCCUGGUAUUCCGGGGGCAUGCCUGUCCGAGCGUCAUU
rnacentral:rRNA from 1 species